rnacentral:lncRNA from 1 species
CGGCCGCUGCUCGCCGGCUUGGCGACCUGCGGGCUGGCGGCGACCGGGCUUGGACCGGGGCGGCCGCUGCAAUGGCAUGAUCUAGCAGAAAGAUGGCUGCCAUUGGCUAUUUUAUUUUUCUUUCUGUGGCAAGACUGUCAUGGUGCCUGGAUAUUUCAGGAAAUCCAGUAUCAAAAUUGACUGCAGAAGAAAGAAACUAACAGACCAAUAACGAUGGAAGAAAUUGAGAAAGUUAUCAAAAAGCUACCAUC